GUUGGGGACAUCCGAUCAGAUUGAUACGCUGCAGAGAAGAUUAGCAUGAUCCUUGCGCAAGGAUUACACGCACAAAUUGAGCACAAAUUGAGAAAUGG